rnacentral:lncRNA from 1 species
CCUACACUUAUGAUCGCCACCUCACCAUUACCUCCAGCAGUAGCACCGCCACCGUUGCCGUCAAAACCACCACUACCACCUCUCGACGGCAACACCACCAACACAAACAAAUUAACGCAUUGCAAAAAAUAAAAUAAAAUAAAAUAAGAUAAAAAUCACCACGUUGUCGCAACCAACAAUAAAACUAACACCUCACCACUGCAACCAGGCACAUCGCUACUGAAAAUACCACUACCAAAACCACCACUACCACAACGUCCACCAAAAGAAUCCCUAAGUUUGUUGCGUGGCACUACCACCACCACCACCGUAAUCACCCCCGCAUCAACCACAACACCACCACACACAACCCACCACAACUAUAUUACCACCACAAUAACCACGACGCCACCCACACCACAACAACACCACAACACCACCACCAACAAAGUUGUCACCACUAGAUCCAAUCCACUGUCAACAAAAAUCACCACGACCACAACUAUCGAAUCUCCAACCACCUUCACUACCAACCGCUCACAUGUUAACUAUUUAAUAGGUCACAAAUGCUGACCUACUCCAAUAGAAUUGCACCAUCACUGUCUUCAUCGCCACCACUAUUGCCAUUGUCGUCGUCGCCACGACCAUUUCGCAACACUAUCAUCACCAUACCACACCAUCAACACCACUGCACAUACCAUCAUAAAUGAAUCACACUAGCCUUCACCACUACCACUUGUAUCCUAUGUAGAUCCACCACACCACUGCACCGCCAAAUCCAACCAACACCUGCACCAACCAUGCCAAAACUUUACACUACCAAAAUAUAGAAACCAUCACCACCACUUCAACAACAUAAAAAUCCAACAAAGCCAUUACAACGAUGUUGAGAGAGAAGCCAUGUGCAACGACAAUCGUUAUCUGAGCACCACUCCAACAACCACCAUUGUCGAUUUGUGUAGAGUCGCACGCAGAGGUCGGGCUGCCACCUGGGAGCGUAGGUCCUCACAGUAGACAGCUCUCUUACAGCAGAGUAUUGAUUCUCUUGCAGUGGUGCCGGUCUUGCAUCA